rnacentral:lncRNA from 10 species
CAACUUCCAACUGACGAACAUCCACAGCUCCGCGGCCCAGUGACAAACACCAUCUAACAGAUAAGCCUUCUGAAAAGUCAAAGCCAAUACUGCUUCCAUUGAAAAUUUAAUGCCAGCUCCAUCUUUGCCCAUCAUUCUUCCGACUGUUCCAUGUUUCCCAAGAGGCCCUUGAAGCUAAAGCACUGCUCUAUAACAGGGUAGUCAGCCUACAUGCUGAGAGCACCUUGGCCGGAUCUUCACUCAGGACCAUUCCUCUGGACUGCAGAUUCCUAUGCCACUUCUUACCAAAGUAACAAGCAUUGCACACUUGAAUCUGUAAAGCUUAAUUCCUACCACUUUCCUCCUCCAAACCUUCUUCUUCCACAGUCUUUCUCAUCCCUCAGUCUUCCUUAUCUCAGUUACAGGCAAUUCAUCCAUCUGGUUGCUCAGCUCAAAAUUACUGAGAUCCUUCCACCAGCCAGUCUAAACCCUAUGGUCUCAACACGCAAUGUCCUAACCAUCUCUCUACCUACAGAGCCUCUCAAGCUUCCAGCUCCAGUUGCACUGGACACCCUCACAGCCCUUCUGCAGAGCUGGGAAUGGCCAAAUCCUGCAGGCCCACUCAUGUCCCUGCAAGAAUCCUGAUGUUGGGAGAGAAAGCAUGCAUGUUCCCUCCUUUGCUGCUCCCCAAACGAAAGGCCACCUGCAGCCUUAUAUUUGCAAGAAACUCAUGCUGAGCAUCUGAG